GACGAACGCUGGCGGCGUGCUUAACACAUGCAAGUCGAACGAAGUGGCGAACGGGUGAGUAACGCGUAAUCAACCUGCCCUUCAGAGGGGGACAACAGUUGGAAACGACUGCUAAUACCGCAUACUGAAGGAGGGGAUUGCGUCUGAUUAGCUAGGUGGAGGGGUAACGGCCCACCAAGGUGAAGUUCAGUAGCCGGUCUGAGAAGAUGAACCGCCAAAUUGGGACUGAGACACGGCCCAGACUCCUACGGGAGGGCGCAAUGGGGAAUCUUCCGAAAUGGACGAAAGUCUGACGAAACAACGCCGCGUGAGUGAUGACGACCUUCGGGUUGUAAAGCUCUGUUAAUCGGGACGCGGUACCGGAAUAGAAAGCAACGGCUAACUACGUGCCAGCAGCCGCGGUAAUUC
rnacentral:rRNA from 1 species